CCGCAGUCUCCCACCCUCACCCCUGGUCCCUCCGCACAGUCCUCGACGCUGUCCGCGCCCGCGGCUCGGCGGGCUGAAAAAGAACCGAGGGCUGAAUCCUGGGAACGGCGAGUCCCGGACACAGUAUCCCAGGCGCGCGCAGGGUCUCCCUUUGUAGUUCAGGCUGAACUUGCACUUGCUUUGUAGCCUAGGCUGGCUUCAAACUCAUAGUGAUCCUCCUGCCUCAGCCUCCCGAGUGCUGGGAUUACAGAAAACAUCUUGAAGGGCGUCAUUGUCCCCACGACAACGCCGCCCACCGUGUCUGGAAAUGAGUCAGGCGUUGUGCAGACAUGACACCUACUACAACAAUCUCUCCCACUUCCUCCCAGACCUCGGCGUUGGAAUGUGGGAGUGGUGACAAAGCUGGCUGCCACCCAGGCUCUGAGGAAAGGGGGCCAGUCUUGGUUCUGCAGUUCUGCCAGGCAACUCCCACCAGAUUGUGCCAAUACCAGGCACUCUUGUGAAUUAAAAAAGCAAAAUUACAUCCGAUUUCCCCGUUGAACAGUAAUACAAUUUUAGAAAGACCUUUUUCUUAAUUCUAAUUGGUAUUUAAUUAUUGAGGGAUUCUCUUUGCCCUUGUGUGUAAAAUGAAGAUAAACUUACCACCACUAUGAGAACCUAGAGGCUGGCUGGAGUGUUAGCCUGAGAUUUUCACGUUCCUCGCACCUCGACAGUUUUCUCAUAUGAAUCCAGACUUCUAAGAAUCUGUUUUCAUGGUAGUUUUUUUCCUUUGUUUGUUUUGUUUGCAUUACUAGGGAUUGAAGCCAGGGCCUUUGCACUGAGCUAUAUCCCUAGCCCCUUUUAAAAAUUUUUUUGAGGUAGGAUCUCACUAAGUUGUUCAGAUGGGACUGGAACUUGCAAUUCUCCUGCCUCAGCCUCCCGCUGUACUGGGAUUACAGAUAUACCCCACCAUGCUUCAUUCCAUUGUGGUCAUUUUGGAAUAGCAGAUAGGAAGAAGGGGAUGGAGAGGAGGAAGAAAUGGGCAGGUGGAAGGGGAGGAAAGCACUAGAAUGCUCUGAGGUGGAGUUACCUGACUUGUGAGCUGGUACGAUAUGCACACUGGAACUUGUAUCUUUCCGCUAGCUGUGUGAACCCUUCCUGAAUAGCCACUAAAAAGAAGAUUUUUUCAUCCAAGAGAGGAACUAUGUUUCUGAAAGCACUUGGCUCCCUAGAGGAGUGUUCAAGUUAUGUUUGUUUGGGGGGGUUUUGUUUUAUUUCUUUUUCUUGAGACAAGGUUUCACUAUGCAGUCCAGGCUGGGCUUGAACUCACUAUGUAGCCCAGGCUGGCCUCCUGGUGAUCCUCCUGCCUCAGCAUCCCAAGUGCUGGGAUUACAGGCGUGUGCCACCCCACCUGGCUCUCAAGUUAUGUUUCUAAGUAAUAAACCACCCUAAAAUGUA